rnacentral:pre_miRNA from 1 species
AAAUGGGUUGUGCCUGGCUCCCUGUAUGCCACACGUAGAGACCACUCCCUUUCCCGGAUUGGCUAUUUGCGGGUGGCGUGCGAGGAGCCAAGCAUACCCACCAUUC